rnacentral:rRNA from 1 species
AUGAACGCUAGCUACAGGCUUAACACAUGCAAGUCGAGGGGAAACGACAUCGAAAGCUUGCUUUUGAUGGGCGUCGACCGGCGCACGGGUGAGUAACGCGUAUCCAACCUGCCCACCACUUGGGGAUAACCUUGCGAAAGUAAGACUAAUACCCAAUGACGUCUCUAGAAGACAUCUGAAAGAGAUUAAAGAUUUAUCGGUGAUGGGUGGGGAUGCGUCUGAUUAGCUUGUUGGCGGGGUAACGGCCCACCAAGGCGACGAUCAGUAGGGGUUCUGAGGGGAAGGGCCCCCACAUUGGAACCGGGACCAGGUCCAAACUGCUACGGGAGGGAGCAGUGAGGAAUAUUGGUCAAUGGAAGAGAGUCUGAACCAGCCAAGUAGCGUGCAGGAUGACCGCCCUAUGGGUUGUAAACUGCUUUUAUAAGGGAAUAAAGUGAGUCUCGUGAGACUUUUUGCAUGUACCUUAUGAAUAAGGACCGGCUAAUUCCGUG